rnacentral:rRNA from 1 species
CUACGGGACGCACCAGUGGGGAAUAUUGCACAAUGGGCGCAAGCCUGAUGCAGCCAUGCCGCGUGUAUGAAGAAGGCCUUCGGGUUGUAAAGUACUUUCAGCGGGGAGGAAGGGAGUAAGGUUAAUACCUUUGCUCAUUGACGUUACCCGCAGAAGAAGCACCGGCUAACUCCGUGCCAGCAGCCGCGGUAAUACGGAGGGUGCAAGCGUUAAUCGGAAUUACUGGGCGUAAAGCGCACGCAGGCGGUUUGUUAAGCCAGAUGUGAAAUCCCCGGGCUCAACCUGGGAACUGCAUCUGAUACUGGCAAGCUUGAGUCUCGUAGAGGGGGGUAGAAUUCCAGGUGUAGCGGUGAAAUGCGUAGAGAUCUGGAGGAAUACCGGUGGCGAAGGCGGCCCCCUGGACGAAGACUGACGCUCAGGUGCGAAAGCGUGGGGAGCAAACAGGAUUAGAUACCCGCGUAGUC